ACGGCGAGUGAAGCGGGAAGAGCUCAAAUUUGAAAUCUGGUAGCCUUCGGUUGCCCGAGUUGUAAUCUAGAGAAGUGUUUUCCGUGCCGGCCCAUGUACAAGUCCCUUGGAACAGGGCGUCAUAGAGGGUGAGAAUCCCGUCCUUGACAUGGACCCCCGGUGCUUUGUGGAUACACUUUCAACGAGUCGAGUUGUUUGGGAAUGCAGCUCAAAAUGGGUGGUGAAUUCCAUCUAAAGCUAAAUAUUGGCGAGAGACCGAUAGCGAACAAGUACCGUGAGGGAAAGAUGAAAAGCACUUUGGAAAGAGAGUUAAACAGUACGUGAAAUUGUUGAAAGGGAAACGAUUGAAGUCAGUCAUGGCUCUUUGGUAUUUAUAUCAUUGAGUGGGGUCAACAUCAGUUUUGAGCGAUGGAUAAAGGCACUAGGAAGGUAGCACUCUCGGGUGAACUUAUAGCCUAGCGUCAUAUACAUUGUUUGGGACUGAGGAACGCAGCAUGCCUUUAUGGCCGGGAUU
rnacentral:rRNA from 1 species